rnacentral:rRNA from 1 species
AGAUUGAACGCUGGCGGCAGGCCUAACACAUGCAAGUCGAGCGGCAGCACGGGUACUUGUACCUGGUGGCGAGCGGCGGACGGGUGAGUAAUGCCUAGGAAUCUGCCUGGUAGUGGGGGAUAACGCUCGGAAACGGACGCUAAUACCGCAUACGUCCUACGGGAGAAAGCAGGGGACCUUCGGGCCUUGCGCUAUCAGAUGAGCCUAGAUCGGAUUAGCUAGUUGGUGAGGUAAUGGCUCACCAAGGCGACGAUCCGUAACUGGUCUGAGAGGAUGAUCAGUCACACUGGAACUGAGACACGGUCCAGACUCCGUACGGGAGCAG